rnacentral:rRNA from 1 species
AUGUGCUUUUUGUCCAAUCGGAUGAUCUUGUCCACGGGGCCUUGCAUGCUAAGGGAUAUCUUUCUGUUGGAGAAUCAGCUCCCUUGGUUAGUCAUCGAGGCUCUUUCGGACUUUUUGACAACACCUCCGGUGUACAAGUUUGUUCAUAAGAUAGCGAAAUAUUUGUAUAUCAUCCCCCCUUCAUCUUUAUAUUCAAACACAAGGGCUCGUGUGGAUGAACUCAGGAAGUACAGGCCACCACAUCUCCUUGGGCUCCUCCGAUACUCUCAGAUUGGCAAUAUGACUAGCGAAGAUCACAAUCAUAUACAUCCCUUAUCAUUGGCUAGUACUAGUGCCAUUGAGCUCGCGGAAAUCGGAAUCAAGCUGACCGCCAGCAAGAAAAAAGGGUUGGCAAACAUGAGCAUCCAGACAGACUACUGCCUCUUCGGUGGCCAGCUCUCCCUGACGCCAUUGUUCAUAAAUGACUUCACUGCUUGCUGGCUAGUCAACAUGGCAGCCUACGAGGCGUGUGUGUCCACCAGAUACCCAUCAGACGGCUUCGUCGUCAGCUCCUACAUCUCCCUCUUGGCAAUGCUCAUGGACAGGGAAGAGGACGUGCACCAGCUGCGAGCUAAGCACCUCGUUCGCAGCUUACUUGGUAACCAUGAGUUGCUCGUUUUCUUCAAGGGCCUCGCAUGCCACCUGCGCCUCGGGCGGCGCUACUUUACCAUCACAGGAAAGAUUGACAGGUUCAAGCGUCGAAGGCCUGUGAGUAUCGCUGUGCAUAGGUUCGUAUACAAAAACUUCAAGACAAUCGUUGCUGUGCUCUCUAUUACUGGUGUGCUUGCAGGAAUCUUCAGAACCUUGAUGAGUCUCAAGCAGCAUCAGCCUUAG